CAGUAGCCGCGGGAAUACGUAGGUGGCAAGCGUUGUCCGGAAUUAUUGGGCGUAAAGGGCUCGCAGGCGGUUUCUUAAGUCUGAUGUGAAAGCCCCCGGCUCAGCCGGGGAGGGUCAUUGGAAACUGGGAAACUUGAGUGCAGAAGAGGAGAGUGGAAUUCCACGUGUAGCGGUGAAAUGCGUAGAGAUGUGGAGGAACACCAGUGGCGAAGGCGACUCUCUGGUCUGUAACUGACGCUGAGGAGCGAAAGCGUGGGGAGCGAACAGGAUUAGAUACCCCCGUAGUCCUGUCUCUUAUACA
rnacentral:rRNA from 1 species